GAGUUUGAUCGUGGCUCAGAUUGAACGCUGGCGGCAUGCCUUACACAUGCAAGUCGAACGGUAACGCGGGGCAACCUGGCGACGAGUGGCGAACGGGUGAGUAAUGUAUCGGAACGUGCCCAGUAGUGGGGGAUAGCCCGGCGAAAGCCGGAUUAAUACCGCAUACGACCUACGGGUGAAAGGGGGGAGUCGCAAGACCUCUCGCUAUUGGAGCGGCCGAUAUCAGAUUAGGUAGUUGGUGGGGUAAAGGCCUACCAAGCCGACGAUCUGUAGCUGGUCUGAGAGGACGACCAGCCACACUGGGACUGAGACACGGCCCAGACUCCUACGGGAGGCAGCAGUGGGGAAUUUUGGACAAUGGGAGCAACCCUGAUCCAGCCAUGCCGCGUGAGUGAAGAAGGCC
rnacentral:rRNA from 1 species